CGCCCGGGGCGCCAAGCCUGGUAAUGGGACUUUGCUCCCUCCCUGGGCGAGCCCGGGGGCUGGAUCUGAGGCCAAAGCGACGUCUCAGGGUAGCGUUUACGAGCGAAGCUGUUCCACGCGCGACCCAGAGUUCGCUCCUUGAGAAGUGACAAGCCUCAUGCCAGCAUCAAGGACAAGUGAUGAACAAAACAGACUUUCAUGUGUCUCCGUCCUCUAUGGCACAUGGACUCUGCUGUCAUCACACUGGCCUGCAAGCGUACUUGGACUUGGCAAGGAGUUGCCCUUGAAAGCUCAGAAGUGAAAAUGCUACUGCAA